rnacentral:misc_RNA from 1 species
GCACAAGCUAAGAUGAUUUAUCGGUUAAAUGAUCUGCUGUUGAAGAGUCCACUUUAAGUAUUAAAGCGCCGGCAUGUGUACGGGCUCGGACUCGGGUUUGGGUUCGGAUUCUAAGUCGGAUCCCGACUCAAACGGGUGGAGCCGAGCUCGUGGAGCGGUUCUCAAGUCGCUGGUGCUCGUCGGAGGAGCCUUAUUGCUCCGGCGGCUAACUAAGUCGACUACACGUUGGGACCAUGCUCGAAUUGUCGCAGAGUCACUUAACGGUGAAAAGUUUUCAAAGGAGCAAGCUGCUAGGGAUCCUGAUAAUUAUUUUAAUUUCAGAUGGCUUUCCUGUCCUGCUGCAGACAUGGUAGAUGGCUCUAAGGUUUUAUAUUUUGAGCAGGCAUUUUGGCGAACACCACACAAACCCUUUAGACAGAGAUUUUUCAUGGUCAAGCCUUGUGCAAAG